rnacentral:tmRNA from 1 species
GGGGAUGUCUUGGCUUCGAUGGGAAGUUCUUUCUACACGUGCGUGCCGAGGACCCGCGACCUCGUAAAUCCAACGGGAAAACCAUACGUGCAAACAACGUAUACGCAAAGGCAAAGAACAUGAUUGCUAACGCAUUCAGCGUUCCUGCCUUCGCACCGAUGGUCGCCUAAGCGCGCCCAUCCGUCCCCACCGGUUGCGCCUGCCGACUUGUGGACCAGACGUCAUAUCGCAGGUUCGUAUCGCGCGGUGCCAUUCCUUCACGGGGAUGACGCCCGCCUCGCCGCGGUACGGUGUUUGAGGCUUUGCUCAUGCGUCUCUCGACCUCUCUGAUCGCAUGGGGACAUUCCGAGGGGAUCUGCGCACGGAGAACGUUUGGAACAGCACUUUUCAGACGCGGGUUCAACUCCCGCCAUCUCCACCA